rnacentral:tRNA from 1 species
CGCCGGGUCGGCGGAGUACUCACAUAAAUUACCUAUCCACAGUUAAAGCAGAUACAGGCCUGUUGCUUGAAGCAUCUGUACUGCACUUGAGCAAAUUGGGUCUGUAGCUCAGUUGGUUAGAGCGCACCCCUGAUAAGGGUGAGGUCGGAGGUUCAAAUCCUCCCAGACCCACCAGAUUGGAGUUCAGGGGCCAUAGCUCAGCUGGGAGAGCGCCUGCCUUGCACGCAGGAGGUCGGCGGUUCGAUCCCGCCUGGCUCCACCAAAUUCAUGAGUGGGAAGUGUCUAGCGAGAAGGCUAGCCACUUUGCAUUUGCGAAGUCUGCUCUUUAAAAAUUAGGUUAGAUCGCUGAUAGGUGAUAUCGAAAGAUAUCCUUAUCAAUUAAGUAUCUAAGUUUCUCAAGGCUUAGAUACUGGGUAUGUUGCAUUCGUAACCAUUGAUUGUAUCCCAGAAUUUUUGGGGUUGUAUGGUCAAGUGAGUAAGCGCAUACGG